UUUAAAGUCUGAUCUGCCCCAUGAGGAGUUAAAUGGCCGCGGUACUUUGACCGUGCAAAGGUAGCAUAAUAAUUAGUUUUUUAAUUGAAAGCUGGAAUGAAUGAUUAGACGAGAAAAUAACUGUCUCAAUUUAAAUUUAUUAGAAUUUUAUUUUUAAGUAAGAAAGCUUAAAUUUAAUUAAAAGACGAGAAGACCCUAUAGAGUUUUAUAUUUAGUUUAUUAUUAAUUUUUUAGAAUUAUUUUAUUAAUUAUAGAAUAAAUAUUUUGUUGGGGCGAUAGGGAAAUAUUAUAAACUUUUUUUAUUUUUAAUCCAUUGAUUUAUGAAUUAAUGAUCCAUUAUUAAUGAUUAUAAGAAUAAGUUACCUUAGGGAUAACAGCGUAAUUUUUUUUGAGAGUUCAUAUCGAGAAAAAAGAUUGCGACCUCGAUGUUGGAUUAAAAUAAAUUUUUGGUGUAGAAGCUAAAUAAUUAGGUCUGUUCGACCUUUAAAAUUUUACA
rnacentral:rRNA from 1 species